rnacentral:rRNA from 1 species
CAACGCCGCGUGAGGGAUGAAGGCCUCUGGGCUGUAAACCUCUUUUAUCAAGGAAGAAGAUCUGACGGUACUUGAUGAAUAAGCCACGGCUAAUUCCGUGCCAGCAGCCGCGGUAAUACGGGAGUGGCAAGCGUUAUCCGGAAUUAUUGGGCGUAAAGCGUCCGCAGGCGGUCUUGAAAGUCUGUUGUUAAAGCGUGGAGCUCAACUCCAUUUCAGCAAUGGAAACUAUAAGACUAGAGUGUGGUAGGGGCAGAGGGAAUUCCCGGUGUAGCGGUGAAAUGCGUAGAUAU